rnacentral:lncRNA from 1 species
UGUUCAUGUGGUUCCAAUAAUUAAAAAGGUACCAGAUCAGGCCCCUCCUACCCCUCCCCAACCACUCAGCUCCCCUUCUGAGGAGCAUCCAGUGUUUCAGUGUCAUGGCCGUGCUUCCAGGCCCGCGCUAACAGCAGCUGGUGGCGGGGCCUCGUGACCGGGGCUCUGCUCAUACACGGCCACUCCUGAGUGCCAUGCGUGCUAAGGAGAGCUGGCCUCUCCGACCACAGAGCCAGGAGUCAUGGGGACUCCCAAGACCCACCCCUUUCCACGGACACAGCCCAGGGCAGUUGGGUGGUUUGGGCCAAUUCACAUGGGCCGUGGCCACCUAGGCUGAAUCCUCAUCGGUGCCCUGAUCUGUGCAGGGACCAAGGGCAGCUGGGAGCCCCAGGCCGGGGCAGUGCAGGCUUGAGCAGGGCCUUUCCCUGGAGCCCUUCACCCCAGCUCCCCUCGUCUUUUCCACAGGCUUUUCCAGUCCUCCUUUCUUUUCUGGUAACCUGUGGAAACCGCCGCCUCUGCCUGUGUCCUGGUCCUGCCCCCAUGAGCGUGCACCGGCCCCGCUGGCCAGGUGAGGUGCGGCAGCAUCCAUUGUGGUCUGUUCCUUCCACUGCUCCCUUCCCCUCCGAUGCCCAUUCCUUCCAGUUCCUUCCUCCAGAGCCGGAAUGAACUAAUGGACGGCAGGAACCCAAGUGUUGCGGACAGACUUGACCCUGAAGACAGAGGAGCCUCAGAACAACGAGGGUGUGAGAUAAAGGGAGUGCCAGACCCUUGUCCAACACUGGCUCCCAGAAAUCCGGGGUACGGGGAGCAGCCCCUGCCUGUCCAUGGAGGGCUGGCUCACGGUGGGCGGGGCCAGGGAGGCUUUUCCCCCAGGCACAGAGCUCUGGGGCUCGGACCCUGACACGAGAGGUCAGAUAACGCGACCAUUCCCCACUGUUCAGCUGGGAGGUCAGGCCCUCUGGCAGCAUCCCGCGGGGGGCUUCAUACUGUCGCAGAGGGCACGGGGCUGCCCCGGGGAGCUGGGCUGAGGACAGGUGCCAGGGAGGUUCCUGGGGGUCUUCUCCCCAGUCCCCCAAGUCCACCAGCUGCAGCUCCGAAAGGAUGUCUGUCGAAAGGGACCUGGCCUUCGGGGCUGGGGGUUGUCGUGUGCCUUGUGGUCCCUCAGCCCCUGGGGGCAGCGACAGGAGAGGCUCUCGGCGCCAGGAGGUGCGCGCAAACAUCACUUGCUUCUGGCGUCACUCUCACCCCCAUUCCCCUAAGCUGCUUGCUCCCCAAAGCUCCUCUCCAGAGGAGAGGGGGUAGCAGGGCCAGGCCCGGCGUGGCCGCAGCGCGCCGGCCUGAGAGGAGAAGGAGGAACAGCCAGGCCGGGGGGCCUCCGGGGCAGUCACGCUUCCUUCCCUCAGAACUGCACAGUCUGGGACCACCUCCACUCAUGAGGUAGGAGAGAGGGAUCCUCGAGACGAGGAGAAGCCGUAGGCAGGAGACACGCUCUCCCCCCUCCCCCACCUCGUGACUGGUGGUGCCUCUCGGGGUGAGACUCCCCCGCCUGUGCACUGACCUUAGCUUCAUGCUGAGGCCCAGUUUAGUGUCCUCUCUAAUCUGAACCAACGGUGAUUGUAUGAUUUUUAUUUCUGCCCCGAGGGGUAAGGGCAGAGUCUUCUGGAAGGUUUUGCCUUGGACUUUCAUAAUUGAGCUCAGAGGCCUUGCCCUGCCCCCUCCCUCCCUGCCCCCAAUCACUGCAGUGUCCAGCCCAGUGUUGAACAGAUUGUAGUGUUUUGUCUCAUUACAAACAAAUAAACAGACUUUAAUUGGUCA